rnacentral:tRNA from 1 species
GGAUAUAGCUCAGUUGGUAAAGUUCUUGUCUUGUAUGUGGAAGGUCCUGGGUUCAAUCCCCAGUACCA